rnacentral:rRNA from 1 species
UCCAGACUCCUACGGGAGGCAGCAGUGGGGAAUAUUGCACAAUGGGCGCAAGCCUGAUGCAGCCAUGCCGCGUGUAUGAAGAAGGCCUUCGGGUUGUAAAGUACUUUCAGCGGGGAGGAAGGCGAUAAGGUUAAUAACCUUGUUGAUUGACGUUACCCGCAGAAGAAGCACCGGCUAACUCCGUGCCAGCAGCCGCGGUAAUACGGAGGGUGCAAGCGUUAAUCGGAAUUACUGGGCGUAAAGCGCACGCAGGCGGUCUGUCAAGUCGGAAGUGAAAUCCCCGGGCUCAACCUGGGAACUGCAUCUGAUACUGGAAAGCUUGAGUCUCGUAGAGGGGGGUAGAAUUCCAGGUGUAGCGGUGAAAUGCGUAGAGAUCUGGAGGAAUACCGGUGGCGAAGGCGGCCCCCUGGACGAAGACUGACGCUCAGGUGCGAAAGCGUGGGGAGCAAACAGGAUUAGAUACCCGUGUAU